GACGUAGGGCGCAAGCGUUGUCCGGAAUUAUUGGGCGUAAAGAGCUCGUAGGCGGCUUGUCGCGUCGAAUGUGAAAACCCGAGGCUCAACUUCGGGCUUGCAUUCGAUACGGGCAGGCUGGAGUUCGGUAGGGGAGACUGGAAUUCCUGGUGUAGCGGUGAAAUGCGCAGAUAUCAGGAGGAACACCGGUGGCGAAGGCGGUUCUCUGGGCCGAUCCUGACGCUGAGGAGCGAAAGCGUGGGGAGCGAACAGG
rnacentral:rRNA from 1 species